rnacentral:lncRNA from 1 species
UAUAUAUUAUCUAUUAUAUAUAUCACCCCACCCUCUCUUUCUUCAAUUAAUUCGCCCGAUCAGCUUCUCCCUUUUUUUACCACGGAGUUCCGUCCCGCUGUCUUGCAGGUGCUCGACACGGUGCGCGACGAAGGUCUCCAAGCCGUGCAAUCAGCUCCGCGAGCUUCGGGUCUUCCCCUUAGAUCCGACGGAGGAUUCCGAGGGCUCCGUUUCCGACAUCGGCCUCGCCGCCAUCUCCCGCGGAUGCAGGGAUCUCCGAUCCAUCCUAUACUUCUGCCAGCGGAUGACCAAUGCCGCCGUCACCGCCAUGUCCGAGAACUGCCCGGACCUCGAGGUGUUCCGACUCUGCAUAAUGGGCCGCCACCGGCCCGACCACCGCACCGGCCAGCCCAUGGACGAGGGCUUCGGGGCCAUCGUCGUCAACUGCAAGAAGCUCACCCGGCUAGCCGUGUCCGGCCUCCUAACCGACAAGGCCUUCGAGUACAUCGGCAGCUACGGGAAGUCGGUCAGAACACUCUCCGUGGCUUUUGCCGGGAACAGCGAUUUGAGCCUGAAAUAUGUCCUCGAGGGUUGCACCAAUUUGCAGAAGCUCGAGAUCCGGGAUAGCCCCUUCGGCGAUGCGGGCCUGCUUUCCGGGAUCCAUCAUUUUUACAAUAUGAGGUUCGUGUGGAUGUCGUCCUGCAAGCUAUCGCUGAACGGAUGCAAAGAGGUGGCUCGCAGGCUGCCUCGAUUGGUGGUGGAAGUGAUAAGAGACCGGGCGGAGGACGAGGAGAGCGGGGCCGUGGAGAAGCUGUAUAUGUACCGCUCUCUCGCGGGGCCAAGAGAUGACGCGCCGCCUUUCGUGAACAUCUUGUGAACUAGAGCUGCUGAUUAUUCUGAAUUCGGUCGGUUUGUUUUCGUAUCCCACCGGAUUCCAUUAUGCUUGCUUGCUCCGUGGCGUGAAUAGUUGAUGACGGUGUUCUUCGUUGUUCGCAUGAAUAGGUGAUGAUGGUGGAAUAGCAGUUGCAGUCGAAGAUCAAAACAAUAUGGUGAGGAUGAGUACGAAGCGGAAAGGGGAGGUAUCUAGACGAAAGGAAAGAAGUAAUGUCGAGUUGUUGUAUCAGUAGGGCAUUAUUUAUACAGAUCAUCUGGAAUUUUAUGUGAUCGUGUUUUCCAGCACAAUCAAUUUUGCUUUCUGCGUUAGAGAAGAGCAUUCGGUCAUAGCUGCAUCGUUGAAGAGAUUUGUUUAGGUGACACCCGGAUAUCCGAAGCUUGUUUUCUUCAAGGUUUUUCUAUCCAUUUGAAGAUUUUGAUUUUGAUGUUUCUUUAUUUUCUUGGAUUGUUCUCUUUAUUUGAUCGAUGUGCCAGAUUCUUGAGAUAAAACUUACUUACCGGUAGGAACAAAUAAAAAUUAAUCUGUUUCUUGUUGCUGCUUUGGACUUCACUGUUUGAUCAUUGGCUACCCGAUAAGUGAUACUACUCGCAUUUGAUAGUUGUAGUUUUCUCGAAUUAUCCUCUGUUGUCGGCAUCCAGUUAUAAGGUUAGGCGACUAAUGAUUACAUAGCGGCCUGAAAAUUCAUACUGCGAAAGCUACAACCCAUGGCCUUUAUUGAGAAGUCAGUAUAAGUUAGGCUGUGGCCCAUUAAGUGAAAGGGAAAAACAAAAGAUUUCGUUGUCUUAGCAGUCACAGUCAUCAGGUUAGCACAGUUUUCUUUGAAUGCUUCGGUCGUUAGUCAUUCUGCAGCUAACUAUUGGCAGGUGGGCAGCAAUUAUCAAUCCCCAUAAUGUUUUUUUUAUUUUUUCUUUUUUUUUUUUGGUCUUUCACUAGACAUGUAUUUUUAACUUGCGCUAAUCUUUGUUGGCAAAAAGAAAUGUUAGCUAUCUUAGAAUCUCUUAAUAUUACUCUCUAGCACUGUUGAAUUGUCUUCAAGUCUGUAAAGCUUUAAAACACUGAAAGGUUAUUUAGUUGUGUCUUUAGCUUUUUGCUCUAUGAUAGAUUCUUUUUAUGACGAACUCCGCAUGUAGUACUUGCUCUAUAUGUGCCGUCAGCUUGUAUUUUGAGUCGAAGUCUUUUGAGGUGAAAAAAUCAAGCACCUUAGCAUAAUCUAGAAUUGAAACACUAGGGCAAGAUCAGACAGCUGCCGUUCUCUUUUUCUCUAACUGUCUGUUAGUCGACCAUGGCGAGGAGCAGAAGCAGCCAUCACGGCUUUUUCUCGUUGGCCCUGAUUCGAAAGAAGGUAAAGCGACUCAUCGGUCGUCAGGGAUCUAUCUACAGAGGUGAGCGCAUCCGGGCACAGAGGUGAAAAGAUGAUACGAGGACGAGAGGAUAAGGACUCAUCAGUUCAGUAGAAGCGAGCAUAUUUUGCUGUUGGAUUGUGAGGUCAGAAGAGGAAAAGAAAGAGAGUGACAUUUCCAGUUUAAAGGUGAUGCAAUCCAUUUGUUACAAGUGGACGGUUUAAUUGAGUACCACCCCUUGGUUGUAGGGGACCCCAAUCAUUGUUACUGCUACCUGUUUAUCCAUUUGUGCAAAUUACGAAAAAGAAAGAAAUCUUUAGGUAGUGAAUCUAGGGUAAAAAUCUGAUGCCUCUGCAGCUUUUGAGUUUUGUUAAUUUAAGUUAGGGGUUCAGUUAAAUUUCACGACGGUUCUGCAAAAUUUGAAAAUCGUAAGUUGAUUCUUUUUUUCUUUUUUUGACUGUCAGUGGUUGGUAGUUAGCAGAGCCUUGAACACAGCGCAAAUCGAAGCAACUAAAAGUUGGGGGAGGACAAUUCAAAAAGAAAAUCUGCUGAUAGAGUCUAUUUCGAAAAGGUCUCUACCUGAGGGGCUUCCUGUACAUUUCAACCUAUAGCUGCAGGAUGUUCUUUAUAAAGGAACUUGGUAAUUGUAGGCUUAGAGGAUGAUCAGGUUGACCAUUAUGGGUGAAACAAUUCACUCUUCCUCUCUUUUUCUUUGCAUUAUGAGGAACCUUUAGGUUUCUGUCAUAUUGUGUCUGAUAAAGCAGAGUAGUUUCUUUUCUUUCUCUCUUUUCUUUUUGAUGCCGAACAAAUUGAUGAAGAAAAGUUAGGCAGGGGGAGGGGAGGAUCAUUUAGCGAUUCGAUUACUGCUAAGAACAGCUCUCCUCACCUAACCAUCUUUUGAGCUAGGUGGGAGAAUCAAAUUCCUAUUUAUUGAGUGUACUUUAUUUGUUUAGAUGCUGAGAUCUCUAUGCUUACAGAUGGACUGUUAAACACCAAGUUGCAGAUAGCAUUUAAAAGUUGUUAGAUCAUAUUUUUAUCGCCUUUUCGAUCAUAGCAUCUCAGAAAUAGGGAUACAAGAGAUCUCAUUGCGCAGCCGCCUUUUCCUUUUUAGCUGAGAAAAGAAAUACAUAUCAUAUUAGUUUUCUAAUGCAUGGCCUUAUGCAAAAUAAGAUUAUCGCGUUACACUCCAUGCUCUCUCAUCAGGUAUCUACUCUUUUUCCUCAAAGUUCUUUAUUUCUACAUUUUUUUCUACUAGCUAUGUCAACAUGAUUGAUUGCUGAUUAACCCACUCCUUCGGAAAAUAUCUGUCGAUUGCGUGCGUAUCUACCAAUGUUAGUGAUAACUUUGAUGGAUAUUGGACUUUGAGUUGAACACUAAUAUAGUGACAAAAGUAAAACUUCGGCUGCAGAAAUUUAAUUUCUACCUUGAAUCUUUCUUCUCAAGGAAUAUGUUGCAUGUAACUAAUGACUAAACGAUUUCGGUAUUACAGUUUUGAUUUUUUACUACAUUAUAUAAGAUGUACAGAGCUGGGAUACUAUUGAUAGCACGAAGCAUUUGGUGCUAUUAAGUUUUCUGCCGUUAGAUUUAUUUCUUUUAUCAUUUUCAUCCGUUCGAUUAUACUAUUCAACCAACCACCUAUUCAACCUUAAAGGAUCCAUAUCAUUCUAACCGCAUAUCUUUUAAUUCAAGGGUGAAAAUUUUAAUAGCACCAAGUCAUUGGUGCUAUUAAUAGUAUUCCAGCCUAGUUCUCUCUCUCUCUAUAUAUAGAGAGAGAGAGUAGAGCUACUAUACUAUUGGAAGUAUAAAGUAGUUGGUGCUUCCAAUUUUUUAGCCCUUAGAUCAAUCCCAUUGAUCAUUUCUAACCAUUGAAUUAAUAUUAUUAACUAAUGGGGACCACUCAAUCCUAAGGGGACUGCUAUCAUUCCAAUCAUAGAAUUUUUUAUCAAAGGGCUAAAAAAUCGGAAGCACCAACUACUUUAUGCUUUCGAUAGCAUAGUAGCUCUACACUAUAUAUAUAUAUAUAUAUAUAUAUAACUAGGCUGGAAUACUAUCAAUAGCACCAAGUUAUUGGUGCUAUUGAUUUUUUAGCCCUUGAAUUGAGAAAUGGAUGGUUAGGAUGAUGUGGGCUCUCUAGGGUUGAGUGAGUGGUUGGUUGAAUAGUAUAAUCUAACGGGUAAAAAUAAUCAAAGUGUUAAAUCUAACGGUGGAAAACUCGAUAGCACCAAAUCAUUGGUAAUAUCGAUAGUACCCAUAUAUCCCUACAAUCUACAUCAGUGGCCAUGACCAAAUAACAGUCUUCAGAAAUCUUAGGCAUAAGCUUGGACCUAUAAAUGCUUCAUGUUCCUCUUUUUUUCUCUCUUUUUCUUUUUAUUUCGAGCUUUUGUAAUAUUUUGUAAUGGGCCUAAAAACUGUGUGAAAAUUCUGCAAGAAUUUGUUGAGGAAUAUCAACGUACAAAGUAGCUAUAUAGCUUUGCCUAAAAGUUGCUUAAAAGAACAUAUUCUAAACCAUAAAUGCCUAAAGAUCGUAGCCAGAUUUAUGAUGUUGAUAAUAUGUACAUAAUCUUUUGAUGUUUGAAACAAAAAAAGGUGAUUCUCUUUGACAGAUGAUGAAUAUAUACAAAGAAGAUUUUUGAUGUCUUAAGUGGCAAUCAUUCUUAAUGACAUGAGAGAUAAUAGGAUAAUUUAGUGAUAGAGAACAAAUUAAUACAGAUAAUGAGGCAGAAAAGAAAUAAAGUUUAUUGAGCUUCAGGAAAGAAAAGGAAAAUCAUAAAGGGAGAUAACACUUUAAAUCUUGGAAAUAUCUGAUUUGGAGAAUAUAUAGAUUUUGCGAUUGGAUUUACUCUAAUUUCAGAAAAUUCCAGUGAACUCUAUUAGAUUUAACUUUUAUGCCAAAAGAUCACAGAAUAUUUUGUUAAGAGGUGUUAGGAAUUAAUGCAUGCAGUAGAAAAACUAUUUUCUUUCUGGAAAAUAGUUUUCGGUAUGUUUGUUUAGUCGUAAAAGUAUAUAUAUUUUCAGUAAAAAUGGGUCGACGGAAAAUGAAAACUUGCACCAUUUUGUACACUACAUUUUUGUCUACCAUGUUUUCUUUUUAAUAUUUAGUCUUUACCAUUUUGUAUGUACCAGUUUUUUUUUAAUUUAAAAUUUGGAUAAUAAAAUUAAAAGUAUGAGAUGAAUUGGCAGUUGUUUGAAGUAUGGUGCAUGGGUGCAUUGGGUGCACAAUUUUAUUCCUUUUCUGGUGUACCUCCCCCCACAUUAUGAUUAAAAUAAAAUGUCUAAAUAAUAUAAUACACUAUGUGGUAAUUUACUGUAUUUUUAUUUAUAACAUACAAACUAAUAUCCAACAUAAUAUAUUAUAUUUUACAGAUUAAUAUAAAUAAUCUAUGUUAUAUUAUAUAAAUUAUUAUGUGUAAAUGCAAUAGAAGAGAAAAUAUAAUUUUUUUCUAAGCAACCAAAAAAAAUCUUCAUCUCUAUUUUUUGCCAUCCAAACGAGGAUAAUCUAAAAAAAAUACUUUCUUUUUCUGAUAGGCCAAACAUUAAAGUUUCUAAAACUGUUUUCCAACCGAACAGAUCCUAAGUGAUAGACUACUUUAACACGUUAUAAAAUAUUCUAACAAAAACUUAGCGGUACUAUUAGUUUUUUUUCUUUCCAGAGAGAGGAGGGUAGCAUGCUAUUCGCUUUAUUUAUUUCAGUACUAUUAGUUUUUAAUUAAAAAACACUUAAACCAAACAUAAUUUUUGUUCAAAUUAUAAAAAUGAAAAAAUUCUCACCAUUUUGGUAGAGGGAAUAAUUUACCUUAUUUGUCAUAGUUGUGGUCAAAAUUUUUACUUGAUUAGAUCUAAGAUAUCAUAAAUGGUUGUAUUAAAUUAUCCCAACUGCGGCUUGGUGCAUUCGCCUUCAGAAGUUGGAUGUUUUAAGUCAACCAUAAAGCCACUUAAAUGAAAGCAUAUGCUUUGAGAUUUAUGCAUUAAAAUAUCUAGAGAUUAAUUAAGCAAAGCCAUUGGAGGAUUAAAUUAUAUAAAGGCUCAUGAGGGAACCUUUCAAAAAAGAAAUGUAAAAGAAACCAAGUUGUCCCAUCACAGUAGUUGCUCUUUCAGAACUCCUGAAAGGUGUGCAACAAACUAAGAAUUAAAGCUUUUUCGAAUCACAUAAUAGAUCUAAGCAUAGGGAAUCAAAAAAGUGGUCCAAGAGCUAAAAUCAAAUUCACUAUUUAAAUAGUUCCCAUGUUUGACAUAUUCUCAUCAAUCGAGACCUUAAUGUCCACUCCUCAGUGGAGCCAAGUUACAUGAUUCUCCUUCUCAAAUGGAGAGCUCCAUUACUUCCUACUGCAGUAGAUUCAUGCAUGGUAGUGAACUUUUUUUUUUUAAUUUUUCCUUUUUUUCUAAAGAAAGUGAUCAUAAACAGACAAUGUAUCUAACCCCAAUCGAUCUGAAGUCAACUUUGGAACCUUUGGCUCUGCAAUUAUCCAACUGCUGAGGCAUUCAUUAAGAAUUUCAUUCUCUUUUUGCCUUUUAAGGGACAUCUGUAAGUUAAUUCCUGAUGGAUGGUACGCUUUUUUAAUUCACAAAAAAGUACUUGCCCGUUCAAAAGCCCGAAUUUUUUUUACUGUAGAAGAAAUUAAAAUGAGUUUGCGAAUAAAGUAAAUAAUAGAAUCUCUAAUUUGAAGCUCCGGAUAGCUAGUAUUUAAUUACUUUUUUGUUAGUAUUUUGGGGUAAAAGCUCCAGCCGUACCUAACGGGGCUGUGAAGAACAAAUUAUUCUUGCCUUUUCCUUUAACAAGAAUAUAAUUUUUAGUAACAUGUAAGUUGGCUUCUUGGUGAAAAAUCUGGUUAUUCCAUCUGAUAAAGAGCCCAAUAUCCUAUGUAAAUGGUAUGUAAAUUAUUUAGAAAUGGAAUCUUUUCCUCUUUUAUUUCUAACAUAAAGAUUGAGUAGAAGUUAAACCAAGAAGGACAAGCACAUGAUUUAGAUCCUAGCUGAGGAAGAUUGUCUGUCAUGUAAACUGGCCUUGUCAUGCCAUUCUGUGAACUUCAUUAUUUGAAUUUUAUGUAGAGCUAGAUCUACAGCAAUCAGCAUGUAUGAUGUACCUCCAUUCAGAUGAAGACAAGUACUCCACAGUGGGCGCAAACAAGGACCUAGCUAGUCAGAUAAAAUCAUCACAAGAUAAAAAAAAAUGGCAGCACAUAUCUCUCUCUCUCUCUCUCUCUCUCUCUCUCUCUCUCCAUUCAAAUUUGGCCUACCUCAUGUCCUUUUUAUCCACCUAACUUCACAUGAUACUGACUCUCCCAAGCUAUACUAAUUAAUGAAACAUAAUAGAUUGCAACCGAUCGUACCUAGCGUAACUGAUUAAAAAUUAAAUGAUUGAUAUCUAAAGUUUUAAAUUUGAAUCUUAGAAUUACUUUAUAUUUCUAAAUGAGCUUUAUUUUUAAAAAGUGAACAAAACAAAUAGCAUUCUAUCUUUCUCUCUCUCUUUAAAAAAGAAGAAGAUAUAAUAGAGUGUAAAUUGAGAUGCUUGUUUAGAAGCAAUGAAGUAUAUAUUCCCUCUGAAGAGUUUUGAGCUUUAACCACUCAUGUAUCCUUGAUGAGGAGUUCCACAAAAGGAAAGAAAGACAACAUGUUUAAUUAUCAAACAAACCUAACCAAAUUUUCAGAAGGAAAUUGAAUGUGAAAUUAUAGGCGCAAGUCUCUGUAGGCAGAUUGGAUCUGUGCUUGACCUUUCCCUCUGUGAGGCCCAUUUUGGAAGAGCCAAUCAUUCACCACCCCAUUAAGAGAGAGGAGAGGAGAAAGAGAGAGGGCCACUAAAAGUCACUGCAUUUGGAAGCCUUGUUUGCUUGUUUGAAAGUGGGGAGGAAUCUCUCAUCAUUCCCCCUCCCAGUUCAAACCCUAUUUCUGGUGCAACAGAUCCUUUAAACAGUCACUGCCACAACAUAUAUACAGUAAUAAAAAAGAAUACUCUUUUCUCUCUAUCUGUAUGUAUAUAUCUCUCUCUACUCUAUCUCACUCUCUUCUGUCAACAUGCAAAAGCUGCAUUAGUUAUUCACCCAUUUUGGAGUACAGUGGUGAUCAAUAGAGUCAGAGGCCUUACUUUAAAGAGAGAAGGUUUUGGUGUGGGACUGUAAAUUGGUCAAAAGUGAUUUCAAACUGAGUCCAUUUCUUUCUCUCAUUAAAGCAUGUGGGGUCUUUUCUGGCAAGAAACUGGACCUGAUGACCAGGAUGAGUUAAACCAACUUUGCCAUAUAUAAUAUUGUAUGUACAUGACAUGGUACUGCAAUUACUACUAGCUACUACUGGACCGAAUUAUAUCGUAUGACCUUGAGCCUAUGCCUAGCUUUACUGAAUAUGAGAGAUUGAAAACAACAGCUCCACAAGGGGUAAAGUAAAAAAAAAAAAAAAAAAAAAAAAAAAAAUCACAUGCGUAUAACUGAGUGUGUUGGAGACAUACAGUUCAUCCUUUGGAUCAAUUUCGGUAGCCAUUUCUACCACAAGCAGCAAAAUGCUUGGUAGUUGAUACCCAAAGGAUCAAGUUCGAAGCGCAGCUGCUUCAUAUUUCUGAUUAAGUUCAUAUUUUAAAAAGAAAAGAACAAAGACUACCUUUAUCUCCAAAAAAAAAAUGGAUAACCAUAUUUAGCGCAUUCAAAGCUGGACAUUUUUAAUUGCAGACUAAUAAGAAGGAGAAAUGGGAUUCUAGGCUUGGAAAACAAAAUGUUCAAUUUGGUGCUUCUGAUGCUGCUAUAGAAGUAAAUAGUAUUGUACAAUAAUAAAUGAAGUUCCUAUCCAUUUUUAUAUCUAGUGUGCUCUUGGAGACCACUAUCCAUAAAUUUCUCAUGGACUCGCACAUCAUAACUACGCUUUAAUUAGUUAGCUUUGCCCCAAAGCUGUACAACAACGAAGCAGGCGUUCAAAAGUUGGAUGUAGCCCUAAUCAAGUUUCAUACACCAUGCUUGGGUGGUCAAAAUGAUCAAAUUGGUUAGGCAAAAGCCAAUGCUAAAGAAAGGUGAGAGAGGAAAUAUCAUAAGCUAAAAGGUAUAGUAAUAAAUAGAGAAAGCGACUCAUCUUUAUGAAUAAGAGGCAUGCCUCAAAGCAUGCAUUAGGUAUAUAUUGAGCUACCUCUUCAUUCUCAGAUGUGUGUGGGCUCACACUCUUUUUUUCUUUUUUCUUUUUUUUUUAAAAACUUUUUUGGAGGUUGAUGCUAUUGGUUUCACACUCUUUCUAUUUCAAGUGUUAGAAUGGGAGAUCACUGAUCACAAGCUAGCACAUGUGUUUGUCGCGAUCAUUUUUUAUCAUGAGAGCAGAUGAUAAAAGGAAACAUGUGAGAGGUCAUUAAUUUCUUACAGUAACUCCGCGAAGAGUUGAGUUAAAAUACUUUUACAAGUAUCAAGUCUUCGGUAUUUUCAUGUCAUUUCGAAUGAUGGGCCAUCCAAAUUGAUGAUCCACAUUAUUAAAUAUAAUCUAUUGUGCGUUAAUCUUCUAGUCGAAGACAUCUCAAAAUUAGUAACUUUCACCGGCAUAUGUAAAGUGCAUUUAUGACUGCUUGAUCACUAGAUAAAUAAUUUUAAAAAUUCAUGAAAUGUCGUUUUAAGAAAGUUAUGUGCUAUAGAUUAUAUUUGACACCUUCGAUCGUCGAUUUGGAUACCCUCGUCGAAUGCAAUGUUGAAGUAUGGAAAAUGUGAUGCUCCUAAAAGUUAUUCUGACUCAAUAAACCCUAGUUUUUGAAGCUGAAACGAGGAGAAUAUAUAUAUAUAUAUAUAUAUAUAUAUAUAUAUAUAGAGCUAAGGCUAACGAGCUCCGAUACUAUAGUGUUGGUUUCGAUCUUAGGGCGUUCAAAUCAACGAUCCAUACCGUUAAAAACUGAUCUAGGGUAUUAAAGUUUCUAGAAAUAAAAUUUUAUAUUUUUCGACAUAGUUUAUUAUUAUCAAACUAUUUCAAAAUUGUCAAUAUUUCAAUGGCUAUUUAAACAGAGUUUGGAGUUUAAAACGUGUGUAAAGAAUUCAAAUUUUCUUCAAAUUUUGAUAAAAAACUUAAACUAAUAUAGAUUAAGGUUAACAUUCUUAAUCUUGAAUUUAAAAGUCCUAUGCUCAAAAUUUUAAAGAUUAUUCAAUUUCCACCGUCCAUUUGAUAUAAUUUAUUUACAUAGUAAACGAUAUCGAAAAACUAAAAUUUAAUUCCUAAGAAAUUCAUAUACCCUAUAUAUAUUUAACGGUGUGGAUCGUUGAUUUGAAGCCCUAAAUCGAAAACAACACUAUAUACGGAGCUCGUACUCAUAAUAUUAUAUGUAGCCUAAUUCUAAUUAGGAUUUUUAGCCAUUGGAAUCUACUCCUUGAUUACUAAUACCCUUCUGACAAACACUAUUCCACACUAUCACCACUACCCACCGAUCAUCUCAACCUCACAUCUCUCCCCAUCCAACUGGCUUUAAAACAAACUCAAAAGCACUACUUCACAUAAACUUUAUACAAGUAUUCUACUCAACUCAUAUAUAUAAUUAUAUGAGCAGGCUGGCUGUCUCUCAGGACACGGACACCUCCGUACUCCUGAGCACGUUUCGAUGAUGGAAUUUCGGAAUCACGAUCGGCUUCCGUUAGACUUGAAUAGCAGAUUGAGAGUUUCUGAAAUCAAUUUUGCCGAUUUUUUCGAUAUCAUUUAUCUAGUUGACGGAUUAUCUAGUGAUCGAAGGAUGGUCACAAAUCCAUAAUUUUUAAUGGUUGAUAAUCUGCCGUUUUCCAAGUUUAACGUGUAAAUAUUCCAAAUACAGAUGAAUUUGAUAGAAAAUUCUUGAUACUAUUACAGCACAGAUCUUAUAUUUUUGAUCAAAUUUAGUGUUAUAUCCAUCCCACUGUUUAUAGAUAUCUUAUUUUCAGCCUUAAAAAUUAUUGAUUUGAAUCCUUUCCGAUUGCUAGUAAUGAAUCGAAAUAAUCGUAAAAUAUUAAUUUCCUAGAAACUACAAUACCUUAAUCAAGUUUAACGGAUGCCAGAUCGUCCGAUUAGAAAUCCAUCAUCGAAAACUGCAUCAGGAGCACGGAGGCCUCGCGUGCUCCUAGACAACAGCACAGCCCUGCUUAUAAUAUAUAAUCUAUAAUGAUAUAUAUAUAUAGUAUAUAUUAGAGUGAGGCUACUAGCCUAUCGGAAGCAGGAGCCUUACGUGCUCCAGCUCGUUUUCGAUGUUGGCGACUUUCGAAUCGUCGAUCGCACUCCGUUAAACGGAUCUAGAAGUAUUUGAGUACCUAGAAAAUAAAUUUUAUUAUUUUGAUACAUUUGCCUAGUGAUCGAAUGGGCUCAAAAUCAACAAAUUUCAAUGGCCGUAGUGAGCCGUUUGCAAGUUUAAUGGUGUAAAAAUAUCCAAAUCAUGUAAAAUUUUGAUAGAAAUUCUUUAUACUAUGUAAAACAAGAUCAAUAUCUUUGAUUUAAAAUUUUAAUGUCAUAUUAUUACAUUUUGUAAGAUUUUUAUUUUCAGCCGUUGAUUUUGAGCCCCUUCGUUCACUAGGCAAAUGAUAUUAUAAAAUCAUAAAAUUUAUUUUCUAGGUACUUCAAAUACUCUAGAUCAAGUUUAAUUUAACGGAGCCGAUCGACGAUUCGAAAGUCGCAACAUCGAAAACGAGUUGGAAGUACGGAAGGCUCCGUGCUUCUAAUAGCAUAGUAGCCUCUAUGCUAUCGGAAGAGAGAGAGAGAGUCCGGCUAUGGUGCUUUUUAAAAAAGUACUUAGUGUCGGUAAGCUUUUCGUCGUUAAAUUUAUUUUUUUAACCUUUUUUAUAUGUUAGAUUAUACUAUUCAAUCAACCACUUAUUCAACUCUAUGGAAUUACUAUCAUCCUAACCGCAUAUCCUUUAAUCCAAGAGCCGAAACCAAUAACUUAGGUAUUUUAAAAAACAUAAAAGCUCAAUUCUAUAUAUAUAUAUAUAUAGUCAAUAUUAAGCUAGGUGAAAAAGGUGAUCAAAUGAAGAAUCGAAUGAAGGUGCUAUUUGAGCCAUUGAUCCUCUAUUUGAUGCACCGACUCCACCGACCCAUUUUCAUCCCCAUCAAAAAAAAAAACACUAAAAAAUGACAAAACAAUAAGUGAUAAAGCUUCCACCUGGUAUUAUUAUAGUAAACCCAAUACAGUAAAAACCAUUACAUGCAUGUGCUUGGUAGAAACGCUUUAUUAUAUAUACUAUGUUUUUACCACUCUUCUCAUUUAAGCUCCUGCACUAGUACACGUAUUUACGUGUGUUGUUACUAGCUAUUUAGUGGAAAUAAAAAGAAAAAGGCCAUAGUACGUACAUGUGUAGCUAACACCACUCCACAAUGGUCCCGUUUGAAUGUACCAGAUUCCAACAAAUGAGUAAAUGUUCAUAAUUUUCUUAGGAAGCGUAACCUAGAUCCAAUGCGAAAAAAUAGAUGGGAACAAGAUCUAAAACUUGGGACCAGUUAACACUCAGCUAAUUCAAGAGAUAAUUGCUUGCACCUGGCGCACCAUUCCGGCGCCCAUAAACCAUCCGCUGGCCUCAAUUUGCACUCAGCAGUAGUACUUUCUAGUGUGAAAAAAUGUUGCGUACGUGCUUGUGAUGCACCGCGCCAACCAUGCACUCGUUAAUGGUUCUUCUCUGUAUUAUAUAAUGGCUGAAUUUAAAAUAUGGGCGCGGAUGAAUAGUAGAUCACUUGUUAAUGUGCAAGCUCAAGUAGUACACCUUGUGUAGGCAAUAAAUUUGUGUAUUUCGUGGAGAUCCUAUCUCACAAAACAUAGAGAUAUUAUUAGUAAGAUAAUGGAUUUAAUACGAUUGUUCUUCGUUACUGUAAUAAAGCAUAGAAUCAGGGGACAACCCCCUCUCUCUCUCUCUCUCUCUCUCUCUCUCUCUCUCUCGACAAGCACUGCAACGUGAUGAGGAGUACUAUGAAUUUAAGAUGCCAUAAUUACCGACCGUCCCUAAAGCAAGUGACAAAGGGUUUGGUGAUUGGUACUCGAGAUUCAAGUUCGAAUCCUAGUUGAUUCACAUUUUCAGCUAAAUUUAUUUCUAAAUGAAAUAAACGAAGCGGGUAGCGUGCUAUCUAUCUCUCUCUAAAAAAAAAAAGCCAUAAUUAACGAGUAAUUAAAGAACGUAAAUAACACUGUAUUGAUAAGCUACUCUGUAUAUAAGUUGUCGGCAAAAGACCUUGUUUUGUAUUAUAGCAGUUUUUUUUUAUAUUUAUUUAAGCACCAGUUUUCUAUAGUUUAAUCGACUACUCUUUUACAAAAUGUUCGAAGCAGGGAAAAAAAAAUAUAUAGUUUUUUAUUUUUUUUAUUGUCAAACAAACACAUUGGAUGCAAGAACUGCAAACAAAUGACCAAUCCCUUCUAGAGCAUUUCAUGAAGAAAUUUUAUUUUAAAAAAUAAAAAAAAGGCAACUAUACCGAGCGAGCUCUUGACUUUUCAACUACAUGCCAAAAGAUUGGGGGCCCAACAGGCCCAGGGCCUCAAUAUUCAAAAAAAGACUUGAGAACUACAAAGGGACCCAAAGCAAAAUGGGCCAAAUUGGGCCUGAACCCAGUUUCACCUAGCCCAUUAAGAAACUUUAGCUACGUAUAUAUGACUUAGCACUACAAGUAGCCAAGGAUUAAAUAAAAUAAUUACUCUUUCAUGCCUUUUAAGCAGCUUAGACAUUAGAAGCAACUUGGAAUUAAUGGAUCUUGAUACAAUAUACCCAGCAAGAAUAUACAGUAUGUGUUUUCUCCACACACACACACAGAAAAAAAAAAAAAAAAAAAAAAAAAAGGAAGGAUGUGCAUAUGAAAGUAAUUAUACUGAUUACAGCUGAGAAAGCAGAAUCCAUUGUGCGGUUGAUAAUAACAUGGUACUUAGUUGAAUCCUAUAUAUAUAUAUAUAUAUAUAUCAUCAUCAUCAUCAUCAUCUAAUAUUCGACAAAAUAAAAACAGUUUACAGACUUAAUUUUAUGUAUGCAACGCUGCGGUGAAUACAGCAGAAGCAUCCAUACAUAGGAGAAAUUGGAGGAGAUAAACGGAGCAGGUAUUCGAAAAAAAAAGCUAUUGACCCACACGGUUGUUUUCAUAUCACGUUCGCGGCGAGUUCGCAUACGGCGCAAACUCAUCACACCGCGUGUGGAGCGGGUGAUGUGAAGGAACUUGGGCGCUUCAAAGUUUAAACUGAUUGGCCCAGUCCUUGGCGGGGUGAAGUGAGAGCAGGUCCACCACGUCAUCCGUGAACCAGCCAAUAGAAGAAAAGGGCAUAGAUAAACAAUGGUCCGGGUCCACGGACGACGUGGUGGACGGUUACCACGCAAUAAUAGCCACAACUACCGGGGCGAUCUCGGGGAUCUCGCCAACCACCACCACCCAACCUUGUUCGCCAUCGGUGUGGACCAGCACUCCGGGUCUCGGACUCGACCAUCACCAACAAUUAAACUGGGCCCCACACACGUGCGCGGGGGCUAAGUCAAAGUGGGCCCCAACCAUUAACCAACGCGGCAUCGUGUAUAAUAAAUAAAAGUAUAAUAUAUGAAACGGUGGGCCCACGUGGGGCCCGCGCGCUUUAUUUCGAACCAUCAUUUUGGUCCGUACAUAGGGCGCAUCAUGCACCGCAACUUCUCCUCGACCUUUGCAUGUGUCGUGUGGGCCCCGCUUUGCUGGUCCUUUUUCCGCACCAACAUCGUCUCCCGCUUUCGGGGCCCAGAAAGGGACGCGUCUGGGUGACUCUCAAAUGUGACUCUCGUUCGUGACCCGGCCCCCCCUAUGCAAAUUCGAAAUUUCAACUCGUGUACCACUGUAGAGAGCAAAAUUAAUGGAGCUUCUGUGUGAAAUCGAAAGCAAAAUGAUAGAUAUACUAAGGCUUCAUUUUGCAACGAGUUUGUUGUUCGCAGAAGCUCUUUCGCAGAAGCAUGUGGCCUGCUACGGCAGAACAAGCACUUUACAACGCGUGAAUUAUAUGUAAUUUGUUCAUUCAAUUUUUACAUGCAUAAAGAAAAAUGCUACAUUUUGCCCUGCAAAAUGUUCCAUGCACGAAACGCAUGCAAGAUGCCGUUGUUGGCAUCAUACCGUAGGCCCACAUAGGCAUUAAGCAUUACUCAGGUAGUAGAAAUGCACUAUACAAUACAGCUAAAGAUCCCUUUUAAAUAGGUGGAAAGGGUACUAAACUGCUUAAGGUGCUACUGGUUAUGCUACAAUAGGAGUUUUGUAGGAUUUUUAAAAUUACAAAGCGUUUGUUCUACAUUGCACACACAUAAGAAGAAGAAGAAGAAGAAGAAAAUUAGUAUCGUAAGAUCACCACAAAUUGCUAGAUUGGGAGAUAAGUGAAAGCCUACACAUUUGAUUUUUUUUUUUUUCCUUAAUUAGUUCCAAGGAAAAGCAAUACCGCCGGAGUUAUACUCUAGCUAGCUUUGUGUGGCUAGAAUUUAUCCAAUGGCCUGAUGAAUCCUAGGUUUUAUUUUUAUCUUUUUUACUGUAAACCUCUAACGGGUUUUUCGAAUCUUGGAUGCAAGGAUGAAAACUGUACAUCCUUAAUUAUAUAUGUGUAAUUGUUGCAUUUAUUUUUUAUUGCCGUUAAGGAAGUGGAUGCAAGGGAGGGGACCUAACAUAAGAAGGGUUCUAAUUGGUGUUUAAAGUUGGAAUUUUUGUGCCUAUGGAUCAGAAACUAGAGGUUAGAAUUAUAUCGAGCCUAUAAGAUAUUUGCAUUGAUGAGUAGAUUUGAUGUUAACUUGGCACCAAGAUGUAAACAAGACAGCUUAGGCAAUUACUAUUAAUUGGGCUUAAACCAAUGUUAGAUUCUCUAUAUAAAUGAGUUGAGACAUUGUCUAAUAAGAGAUUAUAAACUACAAAAAUUGCUUCUUUUGAUGGUUAGAUGAAAAGUCGUUUGGUGUGUUAGACUCACAAGGAUCACUUUUNAUAUAUAUAUAUAUAUAUAUAUAUAUAUACACAUCACACUUUAAUUGGUAUACCAUUCUUGUUUAGCGUGAUAGAUUACCUGCACAGUUGUUUCUCUGCAUAAAAAUGUUUCUACCAAUUGUUUAGAAUAAUUAAUGAACCCUUGAUUUUAGAUUAAUUAUAUUUCGACAAUCUAGGCGCGCACAAGCAUUGCCUAAACCCAUUUGCGAGACACUGCUUGAACAAGGAAAUUAGAAAGAAACCACUAAAUCACAAAGAUUUAAGAUGAAACCUCUCAAACCCUCCUAAGCUAAAACAGGACCUGAUUUGAGCCCAAGAGCAUGGGUUUAAUCCUACGUCGAUUGAUCAUAACAAGAUCAGAUAAAAAGCAUUCAAUAACUUCAUGCAGAAAAGAUAGCCAUAAAAAUGGACAUUUAAUUAUUUUUUAACGCCAAAUGGCGAAUUUUCAUUGAUCCAUUGAAGAAAUUUAGCUUAAAAGAACUAAUUAAAAAAUCUGAGACAAGUAUAUAUGUGUAAGCCCCCACAAGCUAAGUCCCAUAUCCAAGUCACAAAUAAGAGUCUACCUCAGUAAGCAGCAUGGUCACCAGAGAGAAAUUUAGCGCACUCCAAUUUUAUCCAAACACUCCCACAGGAAAGGGAAAAAACCACAUCAAAACCUUCUCUUUUCGUUUAAGUCAUAAAUAGCAAACGUUCACAUCACUCUCUCUAGAUUCAUCACACAACACUAUACAUGCAAAAAAAAAAGAGGGAAAAAAAAGGAUGUAUGUACUACUUUUCACAUACCAAAAGGAUCAUUACUUAGCUAACUAGCUAGCUAGAUACCUCUUCUAAGAGCUUAUACCUUCUAACUUUGCCUCUAAAUGCUUGCCUCCCCUUCCCUAAUGAGCUCGGUGACACCUCCUCCGGUGUUCGUAGCCGCUCGGUCACGUCCGAUGCCGAUCGAUUCAAUAGUAGUCUUUGCUUCUUUAUCGGCUUGUUUAGGUGCGAAGCGAACGACCCGCGAUGGAGCUUUAACCCAUUAGUGUUACUAGUAGUGAUGGUAUUAGAGGAAGAAGAUGUCGAGUUAUUGUUGUUGUUACUGUUGUGGUUUUCGAUUGUAGUGUUCUCUUCUUUAUAAUGAAGGUGCUUCGCUCCUUCCUCCCUUAGACACCAAUUGCACGCGCGAUACGCCUCAGCCUUCGGGUAAAGAUCACUGCAGUAUCUGAUGUAGAUGAAGAAGAGCAGUGAGAUCGUUCCUUUCGCCCAACCAAAAAAAACAAGAAGUCGUGUGGGAUGCAUUCAUUCUAUUGCGACGCACCUCUCCAUAGUAGAGAACUAGAUGUGAAUCUUAAAGCAGCGAUGAAUACUAUCCAAUGUGUUCCUAAUAGGAUUCGAUUUAUCGCAUAUAUCGAAUUUUCGUUCACAUUUGGAUUACUCUUAAAUAUUGAGAGUGUACUAAUGAAAAUGCACUCUGUUAAAGAAUGAAUUUUCAAGCAACCAAAAAAAGCCAAAUAAAAUUAAACCAUGAAAUGUUACAUUAUUUUGUAGAGAAAACAUAAAGGAUCGAUCUUACCAAUAGUGUACAAAUUAAUGUUCUACUAUGUAUAAAUAGUGAGAUGCGUUAAAAUUACUAGCAAUAUAUAUGGAUCUAGCUAGAGAGUUGCACUAAAAUUAAGAAUCAUGGCCUAAUCACAUAACAGUUGAGAAUAAAGUUUUUGUUUUUUCCCCUUUUUCCUAUUCCCUUGAAUUUGAUGGAUAACGACAAUGGUCUCGUAACAUUUUAUGAGACUAAUCAAACUUAUAUAAUAUAAAUAUGAUAACGAAAUCCAGCGCCAGUUUUAAUGGCUUUGCCGCGUCGGUGGCGGAUUAAUUUGCUCACAAUAAUUGUGACAGUGUCAGAUUCAUAGCAUAACCACAAAAUGAGGGAGAAACGCGGUAAACGACUCGAUCAAAUAAUGUGAUUCAUCAUCUAGUAUUUCGUCAAUAAUAAUAAUAAUAAUAAUAAUAAUAACAAUAUUCACACGCCACAACAAAAACUGCAUUCAAUUUGGGAAAGAAAACAUAUUGAUUAAUUGUACGGAUGGAAAUAAAUCGGGGACAACUCCCAAAGCCGGGUAACAUAGAAUAACCAACUCAAAUGAUCAUGGAAAUGUGUGUGAUAAAACCUUCGACUAAUAAUAAUAAUUAUAAUAAUACGGGAAUUGAUAUAUUCAGAACAAUUUUUGAUAUUAUAUCUGGUCAUGAUUUGAACCUUUUUACUAGGAAAAUAGUAAAAUUUGCUCAGAAUAUAUAAUAAAUAAAUUCUCUGAUAAUACAUCUGGGAAUUCGUACAAUAAUCAUAUGAUGAUGGAGACGGAGAAUAAGGUGGAUUCAUACUUGUGCUGAGAGCGGAAUAAGCAAAUCUUGCAUCGGAAUAACUCCUGCUGUAGGCCAUGAUCGCCGCCUUUGCUCCCCAUCUCAUCCCCAAGCAAAGAGAAUAAGAUCGAGAGAUAAUAUUUGUUUUAGUGUUCUACAAACUUAUACUUGUUGGGGGGUGGGGGGAUAGAGAGUGGGAAUAAGGAAAAGGAUGGAAUAAAAGAAAGAAUAGAGAGGAGGAAAUUGAGAUGGAGAAAAAAAAUAAUAAUAAGGGGAGAUGGGUUAUAUUGGAAAAGGGGGGCUUUUGAGUGGCAGAGUUGUGAAUUCGAGGAAACACGGGGGUGGUUUUGGAACGGGAGGGGUUGCAUGGUCGGAUAACCUGUGGAGGUACGAGGAGCUGGGGCACGAAUUUCAGAUGAAAAUGGAUCCGGGUUUGGUUGAGGUUUCGCUCGGAUUCGUUUAAAAUCGUGAGACUCUUUUCGCUUUUUGAUUCGGUGUGAUUUGUCAAAAAUCUGCUUACAUUCGGAUCCUUUUCGAAUAAAGUAAUAAGUGAGAGUAAAAAAUAUAAUAAACUUUAAUCGGUUUCGAAUCUAAUUCGACCCGUUAAGAAAAUAGCACAUGAGGCGGUAAAUAGAUUACGGGUGAGGGGUAUUUUGGUAAAGAGAGAAAGGCGAGGUGUUGGGAGCCCAUGGGGUGGGCGGUGGGGGGUGGAUUAUAUCAGCUAACCGCCUUAAAUAAUAAAAACGUGUGGUGCGCUCCAAAGGGAACCCUUAAGUGUACCCCGAACUUAGAAUUCCCAAAGAAAGAUAAAAACUUUCUUAAUUGUUAUUCGAUGUUCUAUCAAGAACCAGCUGCGCCUUUGAAAAUUAACUUUCAAACCCUUGAUUUUGUAAAAUAAUACAAUAAUAAUGUAAGCGUUUUAAAAUGUUUAUAGGCGUAAAAAAUUCUAACAAAAUUAAAAAUAAUGGCGAAAAAAUUACAUCACAAUUUCCUUAAUUAAUGUCUCUUUGACUCGUGCUUUAUUUUAUUCUUUUACAUACAAUUAUUAAUAAAAGUAUUUGACAAAAACUUAGGAAAAAUCAUAUUUUUAACUCGGAUAACAAACUUAAAUAUAAUUUUAAAUUCCAAAAAUAAAAAAUUUCAACCUAAUUUAUUCUAAUUCUGCUGGAAAAAUAAUUAGUAAAAAUAUUUAUUCUAUCAUACUUUCUCAUGUGUCGUUCUUUAAACUUUCGAAUCAUAUUUACUAAACAAUGUUAUGCUCAGCAGCUAAGGGGGCGUUUGGAUUGACGAAUCUGUAGAUCUACGUAAGUCAAGUAUAGUAGUGUUUGAGUUUUUCCGAAGUAUGAUUAUUUUUCUGUUGUUUGUUUUGAUAUAACUCGUACAGUCUGAAAGUUAAAUUCAAGUAUUUCUUCUGUUUGUUUUGAUAUAAUUUGGUACUGGUAAAAUUAAUUUUUUGAGUUUCGUUGUUUGUUUUGAUGUAAGUAAGUGGAUUCCGUUAUCUCCUAAAUAUAGUAAUAAAUUUAUCACUAUAAAAUUUAACCUAUUAUAUAAUUAAAUAUUUUAUAUAAUGUAACUUGACUUACAUUAUAUUUGCACUUAUACUAAAAUAAAUAACGAAAAUGAUGGAACUUGAGUUCCAUCACUCCACUUACAUCAAAACAAACGGGCCGCCCUAAACGAAAGAGACCCAAAAAUGAGUCACAUGAGCUAAGGGCACUUACAGGUACAUUUUGAGCUAAGCUUAGCAACAAUUUAAUAUUUUAUAGUCCAAAGAAUUGAUAUAUUCACCCCUUCCUUUGCGAUGAUUGGAUUGGGGAAACCCUGCUGGGGUUUGACUUUGACUGGAAAUAUAAUAGUGGGUUGAUGACGUGGCAUGUUGGGCUAACUUUUUGUACUAUAAUAAUUGGGUGAGCCCUUUUUCGACCAAUUAGGUUCGAGUUGAGACCCAAUUGAGCGAAUCGGAUAAUUUUGACAGCGUUAAGUCGAUCACAUCAGUUUAAUUCGGAUAAAACCCAAUAAGUUUAAAAUUAAAUCUCCAUUUAAUGGUUUUAAUCCCACUUUAAGGGGCCACUAAUUGCAGGCCCUUCAUUAAAUUAAAAACCAGUUAUUUUCAUUAUUGGCUUAAUGUUUUAGCUAGAGAAAAACAACAACAAAAAAAGCCAUUUGAUGUGACUCAUUUGGGUAUAAUUGGUGGGUGAAAUAGUUUCUUCUUUUUUUUUUUGUCUUCUAAUGACUUAGGUUAAGGGAGGUGGUUAAUAUGGUCGUUUAAUUAAGAACGUUUGUGAGUCCAAAAGGAAUAAGAGAUUUAAUUAUUGAAUAUGGUAACUAUUUAUCAGCGGGAUUUGAUCAAAUUCAGUGAAUUAAACUGAUACAUGGACCUUAGCAUGAAAUAUGGUUUCAUCGUCAAGAAUUGAUUUUAUUAUCCAAAAAGAAGGCUAAAUUACAGAAAACACUUGUGUCAAAAUCCGAUUUUUUAAUUUUCCUUUUUGUCAUUUAAAAAUCUAUACUUUGCUCCUUUAUAAAAUAAAAAAUAUUCACAAGGGUACGGUACGAACUGUGAUGACAAAAUAACUAUUUUGUCCCUCACUAUUUUGCCUCUCAACAUGUUUACAAGAUAGAAGACUGAGGAUAUUUUUGGCAUAAAAAAAUAUAUAAUAAUAUUUUAUAAACGGAAUUCUAACGGAUUACUAACGGUAAGGGAUGAAAUAAAUAAUUUUUAUUUUAUAAAGAGGCAAAGUGUAGAUUUUUAAAUGAUAAGAAAAAAAAAAAAAAAUCGAGUUUUCACAGAAAGAUUUUAUAUAUUUUAGCCCAAAAAGAAUGAUUCACUGAAUCUAUUAAGUAUAUAUUAACUAAAUUUGAUUGAAUUUAGUUUAUGUGUAACGAAAUUGCUCCCCUAAUAUUAACUUUAAUGAGAAAAUAACUUUGGCCUAGCUGAAUUUUAAAUUGAAGUUCAUAAACCGAAAACUUUUUUACAAUUAGAAACUCCAGUGAAACUCACAUGGCAUAAUAUUGUCAUCCAAAUUUAAGAGCUUUUCUGAUCAAAUCCGAAUUCAAGUAAAUCGAUUGCACUACUCAGAAUCCACUGCCCUAGUACCAUAUUAAAUAAAAUAAAGUAAUUAAUUUUUAAAAUAAUUAUACUGUCAAAAAUUAAUAAUCUAAAAACAGGAUAUUACAGUUGGCAAAAAACACAAUGAUUUAUAUCUCAGAUUUCAAAAUUGAAGUUUAGCUGUUUUACAUUUAUAAAUGAGUUAAUUCUUUAGAAAAAAUUAAAUGAAAAAGGAUCAACUUCUCUAAAACAAACUUAAAAAAAAAUUUAAAAAAUUAAUUCUUUUUUUUUAAGGAAAACAACAACAACAGGAUAUUGGUACGAUGCCUCAUCACGUUUCACUACGCUAAUUGGCUGGAAACUUCUCGAACGAAUUCGAUGCCGUCCAAAACAAGCAACUCCUCCUCCAACGGGACACACAAGCCAGAGUCUGUUGUGGUUUCUCUUCUCCAGAUUGACCUAGAUCCUUGGUGCCGACAAAAAGAGCUAAAAAAAAAACAAACAAUGUAACAGUUGUAAUAACCAUAUGAAAUUCGUUGUGUUUCAUAAAUUGGGCUCUUCUUCUUAAAUUUUUUUGGAUAUAAAAUGUUAUUGAUACUCAAGAGCUGUUCAAAUUCUUUGUUUACUUACUGUUGUUUUUAGAUUACUGACAAUGUCAAAUCUGUUACGGAUUUUACGAUAACUUAAAUGUAGAAAUGAUGUUAUGGAUACUCAAGGACCGCAAGUCUUGAUAACGCCCUCGAGGAGGCAAAAGAACUCUGGUCUAGAUUGCUCACCUACUGGACACUCAGAAGAGAUCGGAAGCCUUACCUCUACUGACUGCCACUUGGUAGGUUGUUUGGACUGAGAGGAACGACAUUUUUUUCCAAGUGAAGCUUCCCAACCCUACCCGUGCAUUAGAACGCGUCAGACUCCUGAUGUCAACCUGGAUUAAGUGACAUUGCCGAGUGCCACAAACUAUUUUUUCUGCUUCUUUUCUGUCAUUUUCCGGGUUUUUUGUCUAACCUUUUAUUUUUUUGUCCUCUAUUUUUUCGUCUUUUCUUUCUUUUCUUUUCUGUCGGAUGCCUCGGCUGCUUUCAUUUGUAAGCUUAGUUUAUUUUUCUAAUGAAUGAAGCAGGUAGCUUGCUACCUUUUUUUCUCAAAAAAAAAAAAAAANAUUUGUAAGCUAAGUUUAUUUUUCUAAUAAAUGAAGCAGGUAGCUUGCUAUCUUUUUUUCUCAAAAAAAAAAAAAAAAAAAACAACAAAGUUUAUCACUGACCGUUUCUAGAGCGCGUGAUAAAGAUUUGGUGGUUGGUAUUUAAGAUUUUAAGUUCGAAUUCUAAUUAAUUUACAUUUCCGACUAAGUUUAUUUUUUAAAAAAAAUAAAUGAAGCAUGUAACAUAUUAUCUUUCUCUAAAAAAAAAAAAACAACAAAAAUAAAGUUUAUCAUGAUUAUCAAUAAAUAGAUUUAUUAGACUAUUUAGGAGUAAAUUUGAUCGGAUUCAUGAGUAGAUAAAGAUAAUUUAAUUAACAGCACAUCACAUACAAUGCAAUAAUUUUAAAGCUGAGUUCUCUGGGGCACAAAAAAGAAAAGGGGAAAAAAAAAAAACAAAAAAGCACCAAAGAAAUCUUCACAGCAGAGUGUUCGGAUGCCUUCACGUGGCACCGUCAGCUUGAUAUCAUGCAAAUGCCGCAAGGAAGCAUGUUAUGUUAUCCAUAUGAUAUAAACAUAUUCCUAGCGAGCAUAUCGCCUAAACUCUAUCAUCCAAAUCCAAUGUAUAAAAUUUUCAAGAAAAAGAAACCAAAAUGUUUGAAUACAGGGUUUUCCUAAACAAUCCCUGUUGCACGCAACCAUUCCAACAAGGAAUCUCUCUUUGCAACCUUAUUCUUACAAGUUACAAAAAAGUGAAUAAAAAGGUUUUAAAAAGGUGGAAAAAAAACCCCAAGAUUCUUAAAGCUUGAGUGAACUAAUUGAUCAAGUACAGAACGAAAUAUAGCUGAUUUAUUUGAGAUAUACAUAUAUAUAUAUAUAUAUAUAUAUAUAUAUAUAUAUAUAUAUAUAUAUAUAUAUAUAACACUAACAUACUCUCCGAGAAACAAGUUAAACAUUUUUCCCUCCCAAAUAAUUAGUGGACUAGUUCUUUCACUUUUUACAUAAUUAGAUUCGGAGCUUAGAUUGACAACAGAGAUUUUCUACAGUCUCUCUAGUGCAGCUCUUCAAAAUGCUAGGUCUACUGCUAACAAGCAUCUAGUUCCUCCAGAGAAUAUUAUCUUUAAACAUUCGAGAACCUGCCAUGUAUUGAAAAGCAUCUUGUUCCGGUAAAUCUGAGCACACUCCGCAAAGCUGACCAUAGAUCUUCCUUGCGCGCCAACCUUGUCCGUUUCAUAAAAUUAUAUUCUAAGAUACAACUUUUUAAGUACCCCGAAAGGUACGAAUAAUUUUACAGAAGAGGACAUCUGCCACUAAUAUUUACAGCAAAGAAAAAGGCGAGCCGCUCCAUCAAGGACCAAGAUGCCAAAUUGCCGGGUUUAUCAUCAGCAGCGUCGUCAAAUUAUUGCCAAUAUAGGUAAAAAAGUGUCCUCCAGUUGAAAAACAGGUGAAAAGAGUGGAAUCUGUGCCACACCUUACACAUGCUUUUUGAGAACCAGAUGCCCACAGUUGAGGGUGCUGAAUGAGCCACGGAGGUUUGUGGCAUCUUAAUAUCUCUGUUGCUGAUUGAGGCCCCUCCAUCAAGUAAUUUAAACCAAAUAAAUACUCUUUAUUCCGCAAGGCGAUACCCCAAAUUACGGUGCUUCAAACUUCUGCUAUGGUGCAGCAGGACUGCCUCUGAGAAACAACCAUAAAUGUCCUGCAUGGCGCAACAGAUAAGAAAUCCUUAGUCGGCGUAAGUUAAAUAUCUUCAUAAUUCAAAGCUAAGUUAGUUGGAAAGAAACUUACAUGACAUCAGGUUUCAAAUAACGAGACAUGUUCACUCUUUCGCAUAAGCCUCAGCAUAUUCUUUAAUUCUUUCUUUGAUGCUCUGUGAACAACGAUACUUCAUAAGCAUGCGCUUGUUACUUUGAGAAACAAUAUGUAUAAUAAGACUCUGACUAUCAUUUAGGGUCUUUCAAUAUGAUAUCAGGAAUAAAGGGGGAUCAAUCAUAGUUUGAGGAUAAGUUGAAACCACACCUUCAACUCUUCAUGCAGAAGGAUGAAAACUUUCUUCAUCUGCUUAUGUCUCUGCAGCCAGAUAUUAGCAUGCAAACAUAGUAAAAUUCUUUUUGGUGGAAAAAGCAACUUCCAAUGAGAAACAAAUACAUAUAAUAAAGAGAGAGAGAGAGAGAGAGAGAGAGAGAGAGAAUUCUUUACAUAGAAGAUGCGCAAACAACUUAUGCUUAAUGUUUUUCUGUCCUCCUCAUUUCACAACAAGUCUUACCUCCAGGACUACAUUUGUUAAAAAUAAAUAUACAUAUAAAAGUUUAAAUAAUAAGUCACUAAAAUGUGCCAACAAAAUCUCAGACGAAUGACCUAAUGGAUCAGUUCAGGUAUAUGAUUUACGAAGAUAUAUUAAUCUAGUCUGAAAUAUUCAUCAAAAUUAUCUCCCUUCAAUGACCAUUCGGAACUAAUAAGAGGAUCUAACAUAUUCAUGCAGUGACAUAUUCGGCAAACAUAGCAAAAAUAGAGAGAACCGUUUUUUAAGAGAUUAAUUCAUUUAGGUAAGAAAAUCGGGCUUUCAUGUGAUGAUCGAAUAAUACAUCAAAUGGAAACAGAAGAACCUUAUGACACCUUCACACACAGGUAAGAAUAUUUUGUAUAAAAUAUAACAUUAUAGUAAGGAUAGGGCAACAGGGCUACAUAGAAUAGAUAGUUAUAGCUAAUACUAGCAACAAGAAGAAUACACCAAAGUAUAAUAUAAAAACAUUCACAUGAAGGACCACUGUCUCGCAUGUUCAUAACAUGUAUGUAUUAUUGCAUGUAGAGAGACAUCUCGGACAAUCAAAGAGUUUAUUUAGUGAUGUUAAAAUAUGGGAAACAUACCGCUUCAGAUUGGCGAUACAUGUCUCUCAGCUUAUCUACGAUACUAAAAUAUUCAGCCAUAUCUCUUUCUUUAGCAAGCUCAAGCUCACGACCAAUGUUGAGAAAGUCAUUCCUACACAAAAUGGAUUGAUACAUAUGACAGAUUAUUAAACUGUUUUAUGAAUUUAGGAAAGCUUUGGAGAUUUAACAAAAAUGAGACGAAGUGAUAUGUUUGAACCGCCUGCAUAAAAAGGAACUAGCAGGCGAAACGGAAAGGAAAGCAUAUCAAACACACUAUAAAGGGGCUGUUUGGCCGCAGGUUGGGGCCCACUGGCGGGCCACACUGCAUGCCAUUUUAUGAAAGUUCCGCAUGCCGAGCUUUCUCAAAAUACCUUUUUUGCAACUGCAGCCGCAAACGCGGGUGUGACAGUGCAGCCAAACAGCCACAAAACAAGAAAAAUCCAUAGAUGUACCGUGUUUUUUCUAACUGCUUGUUCAAAGAGCAGUAGGCUACGUAUUUCUCAUUGUACUCCUGCACAUAUCCCUUGUAUCUGCAAGAGAAUUAGAGCAAAAUAAGAAACUUUCUGCUUCAAAAGAUAUAAGGUGGAAAUCAUCAUUAUGCGUCAUGUCAACAGAUUAGCAAAAUAUAUAUAUCAAGAAAGAAUGGCUAUAAAAAAAAUUGCAGCAAAUAAAGCAGCUCAUUUAAGCAACUAUCGAGAGGGGAAAAAAACAAGGAAACUAACAAAUAGUUUUGAGUUUUAACAAAGCAAAGGUGUGACUUACUGCAAGAAAUCUUUUAUAGGGCCCUUGAGCUCCGGCUCAUCUUUGUCAUACUUUAAGUAAAAGAAACUAUCUUCAUCAGAAGAACAAUCCAUUCUUUUCCUGCCGUUAACAUCACUCUCCACAGCAAAACUAUUCUUACUUCUUUCCACAGACAUUCCAAGGGCAUUUGACUUCUGCAUUUUGGAUUCCAUUACCUUUUUAUUACCCAUCUGACCAUCAUGCUUAUUAUCAUGUUGCGGAAACCUAGCAACAGGACUUUUCUUGUCAGAACCUGCAUAAUCCAGAUUCACACCCCGGAUUGCUCUUGAGUCAUUUUUAUUAGCUACUUCGGCCAACUUAUCCAAAUGCGUUACACUCUCGAAAGCAGAAUGGUCGAUCCUCGAGAACUGUUGAUUUUGAGAAAGCAUUGCCUUUUUCGGAGGCCUCGUGAUAUCCUUAAGCAAGGGUGAUAGUUCCUUCUGUUCAUUAAGUUCAUUUGGAGCAAUUCUUCCCUUACUUAUAUCAGAACUGGUGAUAUCAACAGCACUCACCUUGUUCUCUAAUGACUUGAAAGAACCUUUUUCCUCGUAUUGUCCCUUAUUCUUGGCAGACGACUCAACAACAAGGGGUUCACGAAACUCACCUAAUUCAAGAUCGGAAAGCUCUCUUUGGAGCAUUCUUCCCUUCCCGUUAGCUGGGGAUUUCUCAAAAUCAAGCUUGUUCUUGCGAGACGGUUGACCAUUAUCUCUGAUAAUUCCACUAAGUUCAGUAGAAUUUCUAUCAUAGGAGUCAGAAAUAAUUAAAUGAUUGUCAGAAUCCCUAGCAUUUUUGGUUAAAUAUUUAUCAUUCGUGUCGGUGUUAACAAUUUUCCCAAAUUUACGCAUUUUUUCAUUUGGUACAGAAGGUUUAUCCUGUGUGCUCCUGUUCUUUGUAGUGAAUGAAUCCAACUCAUCAGAACGAACAGAAACCCCUUCAUGUGUAUUGCCUCUUCCCAAGUUUUCCACAUUAUUGCCAGUUCUCUGCAUUUUAUCUGUAACCUUCUUCCUAGCAUUAAUCUGUUCAAAUCUUUGCGUUGACUGAUCAGCAUUUACACUUGUACGUCCAUCCCACUCAGCAUUAUUUAUCUGCUUCUUCGGCCUAUCCUGCACAGGUCCAUCAGGAGACAAAUAAUGUACAUUGUCCAAAACGGACGCAUCCAUAGUUUUUCCUGGGGGCAUGACUUGUGCUAAGUUUGCAGCCCUUGGCUUUUUAGCAGUUUCUGGCUUCUCCAGAAAGCUCUCAGAACCCAAGGACCUUUUUGAUUUGGAUUUCAAGCUUCUUUCAUUGAUGUUUGAUAGCUCAUGGAUAGGCUUAUCCUUCACUGCUGUAUGUGGAAAGCUCUGUUUCAGAAUUCGGUUGCUUUGAUUAUUCAUUGAGUGUUUAAUACCCAAUGUUUGAUGGUCCUUAGAGUUCACUCCAUGAGACAAGUUUUCAGUAACUGAAGUUGCAUGAAUUGCGUCAUCAUCCUUUUCAAAUUCAUUCAAAUUAAAGAGUGGUGAUGCAACUCUUUUCUCUUGGUUCGUUCCAAGAAUACUUUUCUCAUUCUGAUCUUCAGUUGCUUUCCAUUCUCCAGGCGAGGGAGACAAGUUUAAGUCAGCUUCCUUUGUUUUGUGCUCCACUUCUUUCUCAUCAUCGGUAAUAUCAACUACCACAUCAGAACCCUCUUUGCUGCUAGAGGAACCAUCACUUUCACUGUCACUGCUGCUCGCACUAGCACUUCCUGCAGGGCUUCUGCUUUUGCUUCUACUUCGGCUACUGUCACUCCCACUGCCACUGCUAUCGCUUUCACUGUCGCUGUCACUUCCGCUUUCACUAGAACUGUAAGCUCUUUCAUCGCUGUCAUUGUUGACCUUCUGAUCACCAACAACAGUUUCUGGGGAUCCCACUAUGUCAAUCUUCUCAAAAGGGGAUGAUUCUUCUUCUACGUUCAAGUCUGAAUGGGCUUUCUCAUCGAUUUUCUCAAUGACGUCUUUGUCUACAGUGAUUGAUUCUGCAACUAAUGUAUGAAGAGGUGCGUUCUCUGGAGAGCUGCGAAGAUUAAUGUACAUUUAUCUAAGUAUCGAUGAUCAAAUAGUCAUGCCUAUCUUCUCGAUAAAAUGAUAUAAAGUUAAUGACCUUAGAAAGGUAAGAGAGGUACAAUCUUAUCAAAGGCCAACUGAAAUUGAAAACCAUAUAAUAAUGUUGUAGAAUAUAGUACACCCCAUAUUGCAGAAUUAUAUUACUUUACUGCAACACACCUAUGUGCAUCUAUCUAAGUAUCACAUUAUAUGAACCAGCGAAUUAACUACAAUACUAAUAUCAGAACACACUGGACCUAACGAUUACAAUCCUGUAUAACAUACGAAGAACAAGCAAAUUAUCUAAAACGCUAACAUCAGUACUGGGAUUAAUCCUCUUGAUGUAAUGAAAUAUCAAAGAAGAAGAAGAAGAAGAAGAAGAAAAGACAUAUCCAAUUCAAGUCUACCGUUGAUCUACUAUCUACUUAGCAACAUGGUUACACAGGUGAAAAGAAAUGGCUAAAAUGGAAGGUAGUUAUAGAAUUUUCGCUUUCACAUAUAGUGGCAGGAGGCACUUUGAUCUAGAAAUUUGAGCAUGGAUAUAGUUACUACAAGGAAAAAAGUGACAUAUCUGAAAGACAACUAUCGACAAGGCUCAGAGGAACUCUCAACAGAACGAAAGCAACAAUACUUAAUUACUAAGAUUAAAUAUCUAAGCAACAAGUCAAAUAAAAUGGGAUGGCACAAGAAAAGAAAAAAAAAAUCAAUGCUAUUACCUUCCACUGUCAGAUAUAUGCCUUUUAGAGCUUUCAACUUCUACUCCCGGCUUCAGAAAAUACUUUCCUGCCACUUGGAGAGAUGCAAUCUGGUUUGAAUAAGACAGAAAAAGUCUGCUUUCAAGAUUUGACCUUGAUUUUUUCGACAUUUGCAUACUAAGAAGUUUAUAUAUUACUUACAUUUUUUAGGAGACUCUCAAUUUUUUUUGCAGAGCUUGGAAUAGAUUCUCCCACAGCUUUUUCCAAAGCCUAGAAAAAUAUUUAGACAUGGAGUUAAAAGAGCAACCAAAAUAUCAGAGUAAUUAGCUUUUGGCAGCAGAGAUAAAUAAUGCACAACCAUAAUAUCAGAUUAACUAGCUUUUGGCAGCAGAGAUAAAUAAUGCGCAACCGUAAUAUCAGAUUAACUAGCUUUUGGCGGCAGAGAUAAAUAAUGCAAAAACUGUGUCAUAGAAUUCUUAUCAUGAAGACUCCAUUUGAAUUCUUCAUGACAGAUUGAAGUUGUCUGAAAUUAAUUCCCGCAGCUCACAUAGUAGACUUUGAAGGUAACUUGCCAAGACCAAAGCAGAAAAGGAAAGCUCCUCACGAUGUUAAACUUAUAACAUAGGCAAGUAGCAUAAGUAGUUUUGGCCAUGCAAUGUUGAUCAUAUUGGCUAUUUGGCUCUGCUCAGCAGCAUCUUGAUAGUUUAUAGUAACUUAAACUUUUUAUUUGUACGUGCAAGGGAUUACUAGCCUUGCCACAAAAAGAAAAAAGUGAGAAUAUUUAUAGAGCAACUAACCAACAUGGUUUGUCGAAAACAAAGCAUACCUUUAAGCUCAUCCCUUUUGGAUUUUCUGAGAGUCGAGUUAUCAACAAGUUUUGCAAAUCUGUUGGUUUGUCACCAAUGCCUUCAGAAUGUCCACUUAUUCGAUUUUUCACUCCAAUUGCAGCCCUGCUAGGUGUUUCUUUCUCAAAGUUGCUAGUUUCCUCUUUAUUUACAUUUGCAGGGGUAAUUUCUUCAUAAUUUAAAUUUCCACGAAAAGCAGUUGAAAUUCCAGCAGGGGAUGCAGAAACGGCCAAUCGAGAUUGCUCAGGAGGUGAGGGAACAGGCGAUACUAACGGAACUCCUUUCACAACAUUGUUCGACAAUAAUCCAGUUUUCGUAAUAGAUUUAGGAGGAGCAACAGUGGGAGCUGAAGCAAAGCAAAAGAAAAUGUUAGACAAGAUUGUAAUUCACUGUUCUGUAAUAUGGGGAGGAAGAAUGAAAAGCCUACUUAACUAAGUUUUUUUUUUUAUAAAAAAAAAAAUCUGUAACAGGCGGCCUUCAUACCUCUCAUAUACACAAAAUGACAUUUGAGAAUAACAUACAUGAAGCUUAUUACAAUUAAAUUUCACAAGCAAAGGACAAAGCUAUAACCUUGACUUGAUUCAACCUUUCGCUUCUUAAAAAAGGGUUCCUUUUUCUUCCAUCCCAUCCUCCGCAUAUUUCCUGAAAGGAAUCAUCAAAUGUGAUUAAAACAAAUAAAAUCUCGAAGAGAGGUGGGGAGGGAGAAAGGAAGCACUGCAAACAUGUAUGAGAUAUUAAUGCAGUGGAAACUAGCCACAACUACUGCUCUUGAUCAUUUGCAGUUACAUGAUAGGCAGAAUAUGAACUUACAAAAAGGCAGUUCUUCGUUGUAAUAAUACCAAUUUCAGUAUUAGUUAAGCAAUGUAAAGCUCUCGUAAAACCUCAACACCACCAGUUUACUUGUUCCAACAUGGUUCUUAUGUGAAAAAGUUGAUAAAACGUAAAUUAUAGAAACAAAUUUUGAAGUACUCGCCUUCAACUGCGGCUGCAGCCAUUGAUUUCGCCUGACUUUUCACAGAAGGAUUUGCAGGGUCUAAUACAAUUGCUCUGUUAUACAUAAGGGAAGUCCGGUCAACAUAUCAUAGUAGAAAACAAAAAGCAUGCCAUGAACAGCCAAAUGGAAAGCACAUCUACAUAGUAUCCCCUUAAAUUCUAAACUGUGAUGCAUGGCGAGUGAACUGUAAGGCAUGAAAUAAUAGUAUAUAUUGCUAAAAAAAAUGGUAAAAGGGAGUGGUAGGGCACAACAGAUUAAUCAUAUGUCGUACUUUCGAGAUUUAGAUUGGCGUUCAGCCUCCUCGGAGCGCAUUUUGACAUGGUUCUUUGUUGACUCAUCUAGAAUUCGCUGUACAUUCAGCUUUCUCCAAGCAGAGCCACACUCAACAAGCAAUCCAUCUCCAUCUUCUCCACUACGACGUUCCUCAUAAAUAUCACAUAAGUCACCGAGUUCCUUUGACCAUGUAAAUUUGAAUUCCUUGCCACCCACAUUUAUGACCUGAUACAGAUAAACAGAAUGUAUAUAAGAGAAUAACGCAUGGAUAGGAAAUUUUGUCUUUCUAGGAGAAGAUAUACAAAUUUAAAAAUAUAUUUCACAUAGUAAUCUGCAAAUACCAGAUAGAGCAUGUCAUAAUGCAUAGCCUUAUUCGAAAAUAUGAGUUUGGCUACAUAUUCAACCAAACUACCGAUACAAAUCAUAGUGACAGGCCCCGUUUGUCAAAUUAUUGGAAGUAAUUUUCAUCUUUAGUACCUGGUAACGCACAUGAACUACCAUAAAAACGAAGUAUCCUACUAAUAUAAACAGAUACACCUGUAAAUAGGAAUUAAUGAACUGUGAAGAAAUUAGUCAAAAUUUGCUAACAGCAAGUCCAAUUUUGAAUGGAACUAUAGAGCGUCAAAAAAGUUGCUAAGAGAUAAGUUCUCUCUAAAGAAUGACUUCAAUGCAUUCACACUACGGGCCAUCCAUAAGAAGUUAUGAUAUUUGCCAAUACUAACUCAAUUCCCCUUCCAACAAAGUAGCAUCCCCAAAGUUCAAUCUAAAUCAGAGCAAUGCAAUACGAAUCAACAGCUCAAGCAAUUCCAUACGAAGAAAAUAGGUUUGAAGCAAACAAAAGAUCAAAUUGGCAUACGUUCUCCGAAGGAUUGAUCAAGUUGGAGUCGAACUUGAUCCUGGCGACGCCGCCCUGGGCCUCGGCGCGCCUGAUCUCCUCGAUUAGGUCGGGGGUGAGGCGUAUGAUCGCCCCGAACUCGAGGGGGUCCCCCCGCGCGAGGCCGAAGGUCUCGUCCCGGGAGGCCGCGCCGCCUCCGCCCCGUCCGAGCUUGUACAUCGCGGGCGCCCGAGGAGACGCGCGGUGGCGGAAAGGGAGCGCGAGAGAGGAAGCGAGGGUUUUAAUUUCGCCUUCGGGUAAAUAAUAAUAAUAAUAAUAAAAUUAUUCAAGAAGAAGCAAAACCGAGGGAGCUUUCUCGGCAAGGAUUUUGGUUCCGGUUCGGACUAAUUUUUUUUUUUUUAUUUAUUCUGAUGGAACGUGAAUACAUAUUAUUAUUAUUACUAUUAUUAUUAUUAUUAUUAUUAUUAUUAUUAUUAUUAUUAUUAUGANAUUAUUAUUAUUAUUGUUAUUAUUAUUAUUAUUAUGAAGUUUAAGUUGGGAAAUGACAUUUAAGAGCCUUUGGGCUUAAUUUUGGGCCGGCCCAUUUAGACGGACAAAUAUUACAGUGGGCUGUGUAUGUGGUCCAAAUUCGAUAAUGGUAAGUGGAUCUCAACUUGUUGGAUUAUGGCCCAAAUGUAGUCGUACGCUAUAUAAAAAUAACGGCAAAAACAUUUAAUAUUUAAUUAUUAUUAUAUUAUAUUCUAUUAAUAAGGAACCCUGCAUCCUUCUAAAAAUUGUAUUGUUUGUAAUAUCUUCAAUACACUUCCAUUCUCGACUGUCAAUGAAAUAAAUUAGAGAAGCAGUACCUUUUUUAUAUUUUUUGGGCCCCCGGAACGAAGAAACCAUAGUCCAUAAUAUGAGAGACGAUUAAGGAAUAAAUGUAUUCACAGAAGCAGGGACGAAGCUAAAAAUUAAGAUUCUGGAGGGCCAAUAUUUAAGUUUGGCAGAAAAAAAAUUGGAUCUCAAACAGUAAAAAAAAGAGUUUAUCAGAUUUACUGGCUAUUUAUUGCUAGCAACAACAGCAAUAAUAUGCUCAAGGAAGAGCAAGACUAUAAAAACGGAAGAAAAAGGAUCGAGGAAUUCGAAAAAAUAUUGGGACAUAAAUUUUAUAAAAAGAAAAAAAUCAAUUUGACUGCCCUAAAACUAAAAUUUAUAACAUUUUAAUUUUUACUAUAAAAAAAUUUAUAUAUAACUUUUAAAAGUUAAGAAGGGUAAUGGCCACUAUAGGAGUACACAUUGAUUAUAAGAUGUUGUGCGUUAAGAUACUUAGGUUUGAACAUACAGAAUUCAAAAUUACCCCUGUACCAAAACUAUAUUAACCCAAAGUCUCUUUUUCAUGGGAUUUGGGUUGGUAUCUUUCUUUUCUUUUCUUUUCUUUUCUUUUCUUUUUAAAUCCCCAUGAUGAAAAAGUCAUAAACUCUUUAAGACCGUCCACAUUCAACAAGGUUGGGUUGUGCAAAAGCCUACCCAUGCAAGAGUCACUUUAGAACUCUAGAAAAUAUUGCGUCACAUGCAAUAAAAAAUAAGAAAAAUAAUUUACAUACUUUUGUCCAAUUCAUUUUUGCCUAUAAGAGGCUUAGUGGACCAUCAAUUCCAAACAGGCACUAAUGACAUAGGCAAAUUGCUGAAGCUUCUAUUGAAUUAGCAUUUUUUUUAAUUAUUGCUACUUUGGGGGAAAUUGAUCUAUAACACAACAAUGACAACAUUUGCAACAAACCACUAUUAAAUAAUAAUUUUUUAGCCCAAAGAAAAGCGCUUAAUGACAACAUAUGGCGACAUUUUGCCAAACCUAAAAGUGCUUACACUAAUAAAGCUUGUCUCAUUAAUAAUGGCCUUUUUCAAAGGCACUAUGAAUCUCUUAUUAGGAUAUUAUAUAUUAAUGAAGUAUAGUAGUGGACACCAAAUUAAUCCCCUGUAAAUCCCCUCGGAAUUGCCAAAUAUGGAAGUAUAUCUGAUUCAUUUAUACAAUUUAUUGCGAAAACCGUAGAGUCAAUUUAUACAGAUUAUUAAAGAAGUUUUACAGGUACUUUAUAUUGAACGGAAAGUAAGAUCGCAGUAGGACAAGGAAAUCUUAAUUUUAGACCACUAAAUAGUCAAUCCACUCUUUCUUCCCUUCUUGUUUUUUAAGAUUAUGUUUAAUUAAAUUAAAGAUAUUCAACAAUUUAAUAACUUCAUUGGCCUUUAAUUAUUAUGUGUUGCAAUUUUAUCUGGUAAAAAAUAAUUAAAUCCAUUCAAAAUAAUUAACAAAUUUAAUAAAAAAUUUUAAUUUAGUUGCCCGAAAUCGUGCAAAUUAGAGAUUUAAAAGACAAAGAAGUGUCAAUAAAAGAUAACAAAUAAAACAAGGCUCAAAUAUUGCUGCUUUAAAAUGGCCUAUCCAUUAUAUAGAGAAAUAAUCACACACAAAAUCACUAUCACUUACAAAAGAAGUUAUACAAUCGCUGCUUUCCACUCGUCCCCACGUGCCAACACAUGCAUCCAAACACCCACCUCUAUGAGAGAGGGACAUAUCAUAUCCAUGACCCCAUGCAAAGGCAAAUAAUAGAGGUAUAUUAGAGUGUGAACUAACACUCUUACGUAACACUGCUAAAUUUUUUUCUUUUUUACCUUCGAUAACCAGAAAGGAAUAACAACACAUCCACGCACCCACUCCGAUAUCAUAUGAAAAAGAAAUAAAGGAAGAUCCUCAGAUAAGCCCCCAUCGAAAUCAUGAAAAAGGAAUACGUAGUAGUAGUGAGAUCUCUCCCCCCUCAAGUAAAGCUACUUAAAAAGCUACUUACCCCAUCAUAUUAUACAUAUACAGUGCAUAAAAGAGAGCCAUCACUCUCCCCUCCUUUGGACCUCAGACGCGCCUAGCGUGCGCGCCUUCGCACGAGUCCAUUUCGCUUUGGGUCAAAAGUCACUGCCCCUCUCUUUCUUUCUCUCUCUCUCUCUACUUUGCAUCAACAAAGGAGGAGAGUGAACUAUCUCUUGUGAUACAAGCUCCUAUAUCUUUCUCCUUUAUUGGGUCAUCAUAAACCCCCGCUUUCUCUUCCAACCGCCACGAAUAAAGAUGAAAUUUUUUAAAAGUUACUACUAAUACGUUUGUAUACUGAUGUAUCACGCACAGAUUAACUUAUCCAGUACUGACGAUGGCGUGUCCGCCGACCUCCACAAUCCACCAAAGACAUAUGCCCACACAAGAGUAGUUGAUUCCCAAAUUCAAUCAUUGGAGACGCGUGGAGCAAUCCCAUUGGCUCUUCGCUUUUCUCUAGGCCCCGGCUCAUUGUACUGGGCCAAAAAAGGGCCCUUCCCACUUGCGCGCACACAGGCACACUGUUAACCACUGCUACUAUUGCUAAAUCCCACUCCUAAAGCCUUGUACACUUGCCACUUAUUCUACAUUUUAAUAAUAAUCAGUAGAGCUUAUAAUAAUAUUAGGGUAAGGAGUAGUGGUGAAUGGUGAUAGUGGAGGCUACAGUGCGCUUGUAGAAGCAGAAGCAGCUCCGAAAGCCAUAGUUUUCAGCUUGAGAGAUUUUAAAUAGCUUAUGGCUUCGUCGAGAAUGGUGGCUGCGUCUUUACCCUUACCGCCCGGUAUGAUCCUUCGCAAUAACCCUACAGUCUCCCGUAUCCUCUCCCUCUUAAUUCGCUUAUUCGGGUAGUAACUGGGUUCAUUAGAUAUCUCUUUUUCUUCUUCUUCUUCUUCUUUCUCCCUCUUAUCACCUGCUUCUUCUCUCUUGUUGCCUGCUCCCACACAACUUGACUCUACAUCACCGUCAUCCUUGCUGUAGAAAACUCUCGCAGAGCUCGCAGUGUCGACAAGUGAUGCGUCGAGCUCCGAAUCAAGCCUUCGUUUCUUUGUCGGUAGAGUUUUUGAGCUUGCGACCUCCUCUAUGCUCCUUUCCUUGGAUAUGAUAACGGGGAAGUGCCCCGUGCUAGCUUCUUCUUCUUCUUCUUUUGCUUCCUCUUCGUCAACAUAGUCUUCAGAAUCCGAAUAGAGGAGCGCAUCAAUCUCCUCCGUGUCCUCGUGCAUCUCCUCAACACCAUUUCCGUCGGUAACAUUCGUUUCAUUACUCCCCUGCAAAUCCAUGUAUAAUGGGUUCGCCGCGCCCUGCGAAGUAAUCAAAGGUGCAGCCACAGAAGUAUAGAUCAGGCUUGUUUGAUUCCUGGACUGAUCAAAAGCCGUAAACUUCCUCUGAGAAGAGGUGAUUUCUUGGAGCCCAAAUGCCGCAAUCAUCGGAUUGUGAUACAGGGGAAAGGGUACAGCUCCAUUAACGGAGAAAGUGGCGGCCCCAGAAGGGUCAACAUACGCCGGAAAACCCAUAGAAUUGGUGUUCUCUUGUGCGAUAGUGGGCGGGCCGAGAUUAUUACCGCAGUUCAAAGUACCGAAUCCCCAUGGAGAAGAAUGGGGUACUUGGUGCCAAGGGUCGUGAUCCUUGCCCAUACACACGUUUCAAAUCGAAACCGCCAAAACAAUUUACCUGUAAAGCAAAAACCUAAAUGACAAACUCCCCCUAAAACACACAAAAGGAUUUUAAACAAGUAAAGAAAUGCAACCAUACCAGAUGAAAUUGACCACAGAACAAAUGUUCUUCCACAAGAAUUUCUCCAACAAACUGUAAAAAUUCCACCUUUAUUCGAUUGAGCGGCAGAGAGAAGCUAAUCUACGUGACGGGCUUCAGGAGGUGGCGGAAGUACUCGGCCUGUAGAGAUCAUAAGAGAUUAGAUGCUUCCAAAUUAGCUAAAAAUUCUAGAUUUUGAUAGAAGCUUCACUAUUGUUUCAUUAGUGUUACCUGGCAAUCCUGCAAAGGUUGGAAACAAGCGAUGAUCCUGACGAUUAUGGUGGCGCUACCGGCGAUCCCAUUCUCGUGUUUCAACGCUCGGAAUCUCGUCUGCGUUGCUGCUUGGCACACCAUUACUACUCUAGCCCUCUAUAGAUCGAAACCACUCCACAGAGUACCAAAAAAAGGGAUCUUUGAAGAAGAGGAGGUCAGGUGAAAUGCUUAUGAGAGAUGCGAGGAUCACCAAACCUAAAAAUUCCUCUUUUUUUCCUUUUAUUACCUCAAAUAGAAGGAAUCUAAAGGGAAAAGUGUGUCGUUACCAGAGAUUUAGAGGAAGAAGAAGAAGAAGAAGAAGAAGAAGAGAGAGAGUGAGCAGUGAAAAAGGCACAAAAGUGGGGGAGGAGAAAAAGUAGAGUUAUAGAAUAACCCUACAAUACAAAUUCAAGGAGAUCCCUUUUCGAAGUACAUCAACGGAGAGGCUCAACCACCGCAUAGUGUUGCGAAUCUGUAACCACAAAAGCUUCAAUUCCCCACCUCCAGUGAACUGUAACAGCGAAAUCAAGGUAAAAAAACCCUAAUUUUCUCCACAAAAGAAGCAAAUCGAACCAAAAAAAAAUUCUAAAAGUCGCAAAAAAGAGCCUUUUUGGAAUCAAAUCUGCCUAAGAAGACGCUCACGAUGUUUUUGAUGGAAAUUAACACGAAAUCACCAAAAAAAAAAAAUUCAGGGAAAAGACCACCAAAGUACCACAAAAAUCAGUUUUUCAGCACAAAAAUUCCAUCCAGCAUCAAGAAAACCGAUUCCGGAAGUAAAAAUCCGAAAUAUUCGAGGAUCAAUCAAAUAAACACAAGAAAAAACCGGAAAAAAGGGCGAAAUUUCGCGGGAGAAACCUGAGAUCUCUUCGCCCUACGCCAAUCGAAAGAGCCCAAAAAGCGACGUCCACGCGCGGAUCGGGAUCGAGCUCGAAACUUGCGAGAGAGAGAGAGAGAGAGAGAGAGAGAGAGAGAGGAAAGGUCGUGGAAAUGGGGAAUGGAGAACGAAACCACAAACGCUUUGGACUCGGAACAAACGCUUUGGACUCGGAUAAAAGAGUUCACGAGAGAAUGGAGGAGGCGAAGAAGGGGAUGAGUUUUAUCGGCCUUUUGUGACGAAAAUGCCCUCGAUGGAUGCCGCGUAUUUACCAUGAAGUGUAGUGGGAGUGUGUUGUCAUAAUGGGGAAACUGCGUGGGCUUGGAGGUAAAAUGAGUCAAAAAUAAUAACGUAAGGUCAAAAUACCUGUCGACUGUAGAUGAUGUUGGGUUCGAACCAUGGGUUAGACUUUUCUUUUUUCUUCUUUUUUACUUUUUAAUUUUCUCUCACUAAUUAUAAUACUAUAGUAUUUUUUUAAAAAAAAAUUAUGGGGAUUAAGGCCCAGGAUUCAUGCGUUUAUUUUGUUUAUUGGACAUUGAGGAUAAUAAAAAGAAUUAGUCCAUAAAUUUUUAGUUCUAAUAAUAAUUCCAUUUGAGUUUCAAUUAUAGUAAUUUUACUGUAGAUGUUUCAUUUCUAGAGUUUUGUUUCUAAAGUUUGACGGUGCUAAUCCAGAUGGAAGUUUAGGGACAACAUUUGUGAUUAAUUCCAACUCAUGAAAAUUAUGAUUGCUUCUUUUUUUUCUUUUUUACUUGACUCAUCAAGCUUUGUCUCAAAAGUGUUAUGUAAUUUUACCUUUACUAUCUAUCAUUUCAAUCCCCAGAAAAAAAAAAAAAGAAAAGAAAAGAAAAGAAAGAGGCUUAGUUUAAGAAGUCCCAACAAGAAAUGAAAAAAAAUAAAUAAAUUAAACAAUUCCAUUUUGUCCACUUAGUUGAACAUGAUUAGAUGGCUAAAAUCACAAUGAGAAAGCUUUUGUGUGGGUGUGAGCUCCAUUUCACUGAUUCCAUGCUUUAAAAUCCCAUCCCCUUGAAAUUGCACAUCACUUUCUCAUAGUGGCUUCUGACUUGAGAGGCUCCCAGCAAUCUCACCCCUCCUCCCUCACCCUGCAGUCAGCACUCCUCUUUUCUUCCUCCUGUCUUCUUCUGCCUGUAGCUGGAUGCCCUCCUUAGCCAGCUUACAGACUUCAGAGAGAGAGAGAGAGAGAGAGAGAGAGAGAGAGAGAGCAUUCAUGUGAACCCCUCAACCACCUGAUGCCCGAACUUGUUACCACACAUGCCUUAAUUACCAUAUCAUGCAUAACUAGUACGCGUUUGGUUCGCACUAUAAAAGAUUACUAAAAAUAAAAAGAUGUCUGAGAAUCUUAUUCUAAUUAAUUCUAUUACUAAGAAUAUAGCAUUCCUGUGUUCGGUUCGCACAGUUAUAUUAUUUAGUCAUAUUAUUUAAGAUUACAAAAAAUAUACAAUUUAUUUAUUUAUUUAUUUAUUUAAUUUUAGAUAAUGUUAUCAAAAAUUUCAACAUCUUUUUAGAAAACAGGAAGAGAGAAUAUAGGUUAGAGAGAGAGAGCAUAAUUAAAGAAUUAGGAAGAGAAAUAGAAUUGAGAUUAGAGGGAGUGAGAGAGUUGAGAUUUUAGAGAACGAGAGGGAGAGAGAGCUUAGUUUAGAGAGAGAAAAACAGUUGAAGUUUAGAGAAAGAUAUGAGGUUAGAGCGUAAAGGAAAAUAAUACUAACUAGCUGGCGGGUAGGGAGAAAGAAAAAGAUUAGACAUAUUAUGAUUACUCCAAUCCAUUAAUAUGAGGAUACCCACCCUCCUUCAAGAAAAUGAGAUUAGUACUUUGGGAUGAAUCUCAUUCCCAAGUAAAUCUAAUAUUACCAACUAGAUUACUUAGUACGUUUAGCCAAAUAUCCUUAUAUUUUUUUAUUCCUAUUGGAUUAUUAGGAAUCUUAAAAAGAUAGCACGAACCAAACGCACCCGUAAAGUUAUCCGCGCAUUGCUGCGAACUUAUACUAUAGAAGACAUAAGAUUAACAAAAUAAAAAUUUUAAAUUUUUUUGAAUUGCCAUAAGACAUUAAUAAAUAAAGAUAAUAUAUAUUAACAUAUAUACAAAUAGAAGAGAUGAAACAGGUAUACGUACAAAUGUAACAAAACUCAUAAUUUUAGUAAAUAAAUUAUAAAAAAUAAUAAUGAAAGAAACAACAAUAAAAUUAUUACUCCAUACGCAUGCAUCUUGAUCGCACUGCCGACAUCGGGAAGACGAAUCCCUAUCUCCACAUCACCUUUGCCGUCAUUGUCGACGUUGACCACCUUUUUCGUCACAGCAUCCCCUACGGAUCUCUCCAAACCUAUCAUUUCUUUUCCAUCAUUGACUCCAAAUCUAUUUCUACUUUCCCCUGCGAUGCCGCGUCGCAAUCUGCGGAACCCUAGUUUUAGUCCACAUACAAUUUAAAAACAUAAAGAGAAAAAAAUAAAAAAAUUAUAAACUAUGAAUAUUUCUUAUGCGGCAAAAAAAAAGAAAAAAAAAGAACGAAGAAAUCUUAUUUUAUUUACUUUUUUUUCUGAAAGCAAUUUGUUUAUAUAAAAUUGGAUUAUGUGACCACAUUAAUUGGGAGGUAAGCGAAUGGGAAGACGAAGCAUCGUGUAAAAAUAAGGUGAGAGGAUGAAGAAUCAUGUAGAAAUAGGGUGAGAAGACAAAGCAUCAAAAAGUGAGAAGAGGGGAGGAGAUAAAGAUGAAGGAGGAAUUGCCACGUGGCAACUUCGUGGGAAAUAAUGUAUAGAAGAUAUAGAUAGAUAUAGAUAUAGAUGGCAACUUCAUGGGAAAUAAUGUAUAGGUAUAAAUUUGUUAAUAUUAUAUAGCCUUUUGUGUGUAGAUAAUUAGAGAAAAAAUAAAAAACGGCAACAAGGGUAGAGAAAACAACGAUGUAAGAAACGACGAUAAGAGAUGGGAUUCAUCUUACCGAUGAAGGAAAGUAACAGCCAAUGUAAGAAAAAGAGGAACAGUUCGGCGCAAUGCAAAGAUAUGAUUCGGUUUAGUUCAAAUAUAUAUAUAUAUAUAUAUAUAUAUAUAUAUAUAUAUAUAUAUAUAUAUAUAUAUAUAUAUAUAUAUAUAUACCUUUUGUCUCUUCUCCGACGGUAUUGUGGGCACUUACUCGUCGGCGUUGCCCCCGCCCAGCGUGCUCCCGCUAGUCCUCUAUAUAUUAUAUAUAUAUAUAUGGAUAAUUUGAGCCGGUUCGGAGGAGCCUACAUUCAAUAAUGAUUGAUUCAGCUCAAGCAAAAAAGUGAAAAAUUCAGUUCGGUUCAAGUUAAAAAAGAGAAAAGUAUGCCGAGAACUUAAGCGGGUUCAAGAUGAAGCCCACACCUAAUAACUAUGUAGUAAAUUUAGGAAGAAUAAUGUAUAGAUAUAGAUAUAGAUUUUUUGAUAUCAUGUAGUAUUUCGUCUUCCUUAGUGACACUUUUUUUUUGAGAAAAUAAUAGAAUGCUAUAGCUUCAUUCAAUUGCAAAGUUAAAAGCUUACAAGAUGGGGCAGCAGAGCCUCAAGAAAAGAAAACAAGAAAAAAAAACUAAGGUGUUGGCAAUUUGGAAGUGUCCCAAGAAAUCCUGCAGGAAUGAAUUUCUGCAAGUAUUUGUCUCGUAUUAUGUUUUUGUUAUUCGAAAAUUCUUCAGUUCUUCUGUAUCACAUUUUAUUCAGAAAAAAAAAAACCCUUUCCUAACCUGAUGAAGUUAGAAUUUGAUAAAACAGUUGCAAAUCAAUUGUGUUAAAAAAAAAAAAAAAAUGUUAUUCAUUUUGAGGAAAAAGGUUGCAAAAAUCUCUAUCCUUAACAAAUAGAUUUUUAAGUACUAUAGAUCAUACUUUAGGUUCUUAUUUAAAUCUAACAAAAACUCUGAUUUCAUGACACUCUCCUCGAAAGCAGAAACUCUUCUUCGAAAUUUUUAAUUCUACUGUAGUCAUAAUCAACUAGAAAUAAUUAAUUAACAAAACUAUUCUUUAAUAGUAUGUUUCAAAUAAUUUUAUGAAAUGGCCCUUGCUUAAACCUCUAUAAAGCCUCCACAUAAGAUAUGCCCCAGUACGAGAGACUCACACUGAUCCAUACUCUGACCUAUUCAGCUCCUCACAAUAUAUAUAACUAAUCCCCUUAAUACUGUACUUUUGUACUUAAACUUUUAUUUCAUGGGGAUUUGAUUCCCCCUCAAAGGCAAAUGGAGACCAAGCAACCUAUGGAUACAAAAGCAAUUAAAGUAAACACACAAUAUUAUAUAUAUAUAUAAAAAAAAAAUCCCCAACACAUACAUAAAAAAAUAACAAAAGUACGCAUGCCUAUGCCACCAAACCUCUACCCAAAUCUUAAGACCUCUGAGAAGAAGAUUUGCCCACUAAUAAAUUAAUUUAAUAUAAUCUCUAUUAGGUUUAAUUUAGUACACUUUUAACUUUAGUAUUAGUUUUUUGUGUCACGCUCUCUUGUUUAGAGGGGAGGGAGCAAAAGAAAAAGGAGCGAGUCAAGGGGAGCUGGGACGCCCCUUGAGGUCUACGCUUUGGGUGGCACCAAAACCACCUUUAGAUUUUAAGUAGGGGAAAUUAAAGGAGAUGGUGAUGGACCAAAUGGUUGUUUACUUUUGAUUAAAUCAUGUUGGUUUGUCCCAUAACCACUUUAUUAAUCAUUGUCAACGUUGCGAGUCGUUGCGCGACACUUGUCACGAUGCCCGUGGAUUUGCGGGGUGCGCGUGUCGGCCGGCGAUCGGCUGCAGCUUUGGUGUGAGCUGUGCAAAGUUUAAAUUUUAUGUAAAGAGUUCACUUUGAUUUGGUUAAAGCACGAGUUUGAUUUUGUACUAGUUGAGAAACUAAAAAGUAGUUUUAUUAAACACUUGGCCUAGCUAAUAAAGAUUCAUAGUCAAACUAAAUGAACCUAACUUAUUGAAUAAUGAUUAUAUAUUCUUUAUGUUCCAUUUUGAUUAAUUUUGUUUGUUUUUUCAAAAGCCAAAUAUGAAAUCAAUAUGAUAUACACCACAAGAAUAACUUAUUAUUAUUAUUAACUAGUACAGAAACCUGCGCGAUACUGCGGGUAGAUAAUAGAAAUAAAACUUUAAACUUUUUUAGUUAAAAAGUAAUAAUAAUAAUUAAAAUUUUAAAAUGUACAUGGUAACGUAAUAACAUAAAAUAGCAAGUAUAUUUUACCGUAGAAAAAAGAUUGAUUGUUAUCUUUUUGAAUUGAAGGUGAUACUGUAUUUUUAUGAUUGCAACAUCUCUCUCAUAAUUGUACUAAAAGCCAACAUUUAGAAAGAUAACAAAAAAAUAAAACAGUUAGUAUGAAAUGUAGAAAAUUAAUUGCUAAAAAAACAGUUAGUAUGAAAUGUAGAAUGUAGAGGGUUAUGUGGAAUUUAAAAAAUAAAAAAAUAAAAAAAAUUUCAAAAAAAUAAGGUCAUGCCAUCUCAGCUUUUGUUAUUGGAGAUUAAUAGAAAGUAAUAGAUAGAUAGAUAGAUAAUAGAUUACUUGUAGGCAAUGCUACAAUAUAGU